AAAUCUUUGUUUUUUCAUUAUCAAUCUGUCCAUAACCACAGCCGACAUUAUUAAUAGCAGAACCAUCUCCAGAUGAAAGCACAAUAACUUUUGGCUUGGACAUCAAAUCUCUCAUUAGCAUCAGCCAAAAGAGCAGGGAUUGAUAAUGAAGAGCUAGCUUAUAAUGUUGAAAAAAGCCCAACAUCUGUUGCAAAUAAAGAGAGAGUAUACUGCUAUCACCAGAAAUGCAUUGCAAGUUGGAAGAACCCAAAGACACCAAACUCUCACAUAUAUAUUCUGCAAACUCACAUUCACUCUCAUCUAUAACCCCAGCACUUGACCCAGAUUUGUAUAAAAAUUCUCUG
rnacentral:misc_RNA from 1 species